CGGAGCAGGCCGUGAAGCACCCCCGCCUGCUGUCCUUCACGUCGCAGCUGAAGGCCGGCAAGGGCCUGACCAUCGUGGGCUCAGUGCUGGAGGGGACGUACCUGGACAAGCACAUGGAGGCUCAGCGGGCCGAGGAGGUGGGCCGGGCGGGGUCUGGGGGCCAGGCCUCUUUCCCACCCCAGCUGCACAGGAAACGUGCCCUGGCAUGUCCUCAUCGCAGCGUGUCAACACGGUGCUGUGCAGCACCAGCCGCACCCUGGGAAGCUUGGGAGGUGUGAGGGCCAUUAGCUUUCCAAGGACGAACCCUGGGACCACCUGCUCCUGCCAUGGGUGAGCCCCGUCCAGAGGGUGAGCCCUGUCCAGAGCCGUAGUCAUGGUUCUGCCGCAAGCUCAGUCUCCCGCUGUUCAGGCUCACUGGGGGCUGCGUAAGUGUGAUGCCCGUGUGCUGGGGGCUCACCGGGGGCUGCGUAAGUGUGAUGCCCGUGUGCUGGGGGCUCACCGGGGGCUGCGUAAGUGUGAUGCCCGUGUGCUGGGGGCUCACCGGGGGCUGCGUAAGUGUGAUGCCCGUGUGCUGGGGGCUCACGGGGGGCUGCGUAAGUGUGAUGCCCGUGUGCUGGGGGCUCACGGGGGGCUGCGUAAGUGUGAUGCCCGUGUGCUGGUGGCUCACUGGGGGCUGCAUAAGUGUGAUGCCCGUGUGCUGCUGAAUUUCUGCCCACUCAGAGCUUUGUGGGGAGGGACGGGUGAGUGCCCCGGGCGUGUAGUAUGCUGGUGCCAGCUCUGAGCCCUGCUGCUGCAGUCAGCUGCCCCAGGACAUCGGGGUCUGAGACUUUGUGUCUUCAUUUUUCUGAUUUUCAAACUUCUUAUGGGACGCUUCACACUAUUCACAAACGGAAUGAUGACACGAUGACAGCCUGUGGGGUCCCGUCACGUCAUGUCACCUGGAGUAACUUCUGUAUUUCUUGCUAAAGCAGGGAGCUUCUGAGUGCCCACCUACGUGAUUUUCAUGCCAAGGGCGCCUCAUUCCCAGGCAGGGCUGGCUGCCAUGGGCGCCUCGAGCCUCCUCCUUCCCGCUCGUGUGUGGGAGUCUGUGGGGCCUAUACCAAGUGCCUGUUGCAGUGGUGUGUGUCCGAGGUCCCUCCCGUGCGGGUGCCCCCUCUGUCCUUGCUGUGGGUUGGGAGCCAGUUCCCUGCUGCCAGGCCCCCACUGGGACCUUGUGGGUGUGUCAAGGCAUCUGCAGCCGCCCAGCCCCCGCCCCCGCCCCGUCCGUUUCUCUGCACAACCACAGCCGCACUGAGGCCCAUCCAGGUCCGGGCCGGUCAGCCUAGGGGUGGGAACCCUGCUCAAGAGGGCUGUGGGCACGUGGACGGUAGCAGCCUCAGGUGGCGUGGCCUAGGGCCAGGAUCCCAUGGAGGUAAAAAAUGGCCCCCGCCGCUCCCGCCACCUUGGCCACGUGGAUGGCCACCCUCUCAGGCUGUUGCACAGGUUCGCUUUUCCAGGAAAGACAGGAGAUGCUCUGGGCCUUCCCUUUCCCUGACAGCGGCGUCAUGGCUCACCACGGGUUCAGGCGUUAGCUGCUAUUGACUGUGAACCCGUGGAUUUAGGUGUCGUGGUUUUCGGGGGGAUGUUCACAGUCCUGGUCCCCAUAUGUCUCUUUCCGUGUUUCUUAUCCCAUGCUGGAAUGCUCUUAGGAGGAAUCCCAGAGUUGGAACUGCCCUGCUGGCGU
rnacentral:lncRNA from 1 species